rnacentral:rRNA from 1 species
GGAAUCCGCUAAGGAGUGUGUAACAACUCACCUGCCGAAUGAAUUAGCCCUGAAAAUGGAUGGCGCUGAAGCGGGUAGCCGACACCACGCCGUCUGGACAAAGUGGUCUUUCAGAUGAGUAGGAGGGCGUGGCGGUUGUAUCGAAGCGUGGAUGCGAAUCUGCGUGGAACAGCCGCUAGUGCAGAUCUUGGUGGUAGUAGCAAAUAUUCAAGCGAGAUCCUUGAAGGGCGAAGCGGGGAAGGGUUCCACGCGAACAUUGAUUGGGCGUGGGUGAGUCGUUCCUAAGCCGCGUGGCAAUAGCUAAUUACCGGCGAAAGGGAAGCAGGUUGACAUUCCUGCACACGGAUGUGGAGACGGCGACGAUACAUGAGGCGAUCACGCUGGCGGUGGCGCUGGGCAGAGUUGUCUUUUCUGUUUGACCAUUGAAUACUUGCUGUGUGGAAUCCGCUUGUCGGGAGAAACACGCAGGUACGGGCAGAGCGCCGGGGCUUUUCCGGCGUCCAGCUCGCCACCGACGGCCCUUGAAAAAUUGCCUGCUGAACAACACUCUGUUGUUGUGAGAUCCACGCCGUGGCGUACCGAUAACCGCAUCAGGUCCCCAAGGUGAACAGCCUCUGCUCAGUAUGAACAAUGCAGGUAAGGGAAGUCGGCA